GCCAGCAGCCGACCUCGGGACUCGCCAACUUCCUACCCCUGCCCCCCCAGCCGAGGAACUUUGUUAAAUAGAGCGGGGGGGGAAGAAGUGAGCUGUAACUCUUACUUUAAAACGGCUGGGCUACCAAAGGUGAAAAUACACACACACGAGUACAAGGAAUUUCCUUCUCAGCUAUCAAGAAACUGGAACUGAAACUAUGCAACGGAGCAGCGAGGCUGACAGCCUUGUUCCACACAGUAACAAUGCAGGAGCAGAGGCGGCGUGGUUUGCUUUCCCUCGUUCAACAGCAGGUUCAGAACACUAGAUGUUUUGGUAGCCCAUGACCAUGAAAUUCCACUAGCAUGUCGCUUUUUAUGGUCCUGUGCUAACAGCUUAAAACCAGAAUUAAUUUAUCCCCUUUUUCUUCAGCUAAUGAAUUGACAUUUCAUUCAACCUACCCAUCUGCAAUGCAUGUACAGCUUGAUGCCACCCACGCCCUGCAUCCACUCACUUUCCAGACCUGAAUAUUAGAUGAACCUUGCAGAAAGAACAAACAGUUCCUACCACAUAAUGGGGGAGUACAAAAAUCUACAGGAGAACUGACAGGCAACAAACAACAUCACAAAAUUCCUGCAUGUCAGUAAGUAAUUACUUCGAUGUUACUUUUCACUCCCACUCUUCACUCUUGAAUGAGAUGUCAAGGCAAUAAAUACUACUUAGAUAAAUGAUUACAGAAUGAGUACUGCUAUGGAUUAAGAAACUACUGAAGGUCAAGACACCAGAAUAAAAAUUCAGUAUCUGAGACCCAUGAAUGCUGUAUGAAACACAAAUCCCCACAACUUUUUGGUCAUUAAAGAGUUGUGAUUGCUUCUGAUCUGAAUGGCCAAAUGCAAAGUGACUCCUUUCCUUUUUUACUGCAAGGAUUAUUUACAAGGGUCUCUACAGUUUUCAAAACAGUACUUCUUUAUUUCCUAAGAAAGCAGAUAUGGACUUUACUUUGUUAUACAUGAAAAUGAAGAGCAUGUACAUGUCUAUCCCCAACAGAAACCUACACUGUCACAAAACUCUCAGAAACAGAACAUAUCCUAUUGCUACUAUUUUAGUAAGCAGUAAAUUCAGUAGUAUUUAGUAGUUAGGCUUAGAUCACUCAAACACUCAAAAAAAUAAAAAAGUUGCUAAAUCCUGUAAGGAUAUCCACUAUUAUUCUUACUUCCUUUCUCCCUUUUCUCCUGUUAUCUUCUUUCUCCUUCCAAUAUUCAUGCUGUAUUUCUCCUCCAAAUCUUCUUUUCCCUAUUUUUUCUUCUCUUGGUUCUCCCUACCAUUCCCCUUCUUGUUUCUGCUUGAACUUUCAGUAUUUCUUUCCCUUAUCUCUCUGCCUCCUCUUGGUUCCGUUCUCCCUGCAUUUGGUGUCUAUAAGGCAGCAGAAGUGCUCAUCACAUGUAAAGGCUAGUAAGGAAAAUGGGAAAAUAAUUAAUUUCUGAGAGGAAUCACAUUUAUUAACAUCACAUACACAUAUAUGACAACUAAGAAUCACACCUUAUUUCUACAGCCACAGAAGAGUCUGUAUUUGUUUCAUACCAUUUGCUUCAUUUAGCAGCCACUAUAGGAAUUCUUAAGAUUGCAGAUCUGUCAUUUGAUAAUCCUUCACUUACCCUCUCAAACAUCAGCAAGGUAGAACUUCAAAAUUACACGUGUGCUAUACAGUAUCGUAUGCUAGUCAGUUAUGAAGUAUUCAGUUAAAAAUGAAUUCUAUUCUUAUUAUUUAUCACAUACAAGCUGUAAGUUCUCUACUUGUGUCUGUGUGUAUAAUACAGAAGAACAUAGUUUUAAGACAAACUAUCAUUAAAGAGAGAAGCAAUAUGGAAUUAGUGUAUAGAAAGAACCAGUUUAACAGACCCUUUCUUACAAAUUAGAAACUGAAAGGAAGAAUUGACCUUUCCCAUCACCACUAUGAUGUGUUUAUUUCCAGAUCUAUAACACCAUGAAAUUUGAUUUAAUACUUUUUACAUUAAUGCUUAUAGAGAACAAGCUUCUAGAGAAUGUCUGGAUUUUGAAAAAGUUGAUUUACUAUCAUUUUUCCUCUUAUGCUUAUGCCUUAUAAUUACAUAAAAUUAUAGUAACAAGUAAUACACGUACCCAUAAUUUCAGACACAAUUUUGGGUUACAUUUCCCAAUUCAAAGCUAUUAAAAUGUUUCCAUAUACUUUAAUUAACAAAGACACUAUAGCUUAUGAAGGGGGAAGAGAAAAGUAUGGUGUGCAUAGGCUUGGAAUACAGCCAAAGUAUUUUUCUGAUUUGUGCAAAAAAUUAUCACAACUGUGAAUUCACUUUCUAUAGUUAACAUGUAAAUAAAACAAAAUACAAAAUUAAAAAAGACACCACCUUAAGAUUUAAUUGCAAUGAUAUAAAACGUACUUUAUAUACAUUAUACAAAAUUAUAUAUUAAUAUAAAUAAAUACAUAUAGUAAUCUUAAUGUUUUGUAUGGAUGGCUAAAGAAAGAUUGUAAGGUAAAGCCUAUUCAGUGUGUUUCUCUUCCUGGUACAUUCUAAAAAUCUUCAUCAACCAGCAGUUUAGGAAACCAAGUCUCAGAAAGAAACUGAACCUACAUCACAUAACAAGGAAAAAGGUUCCUGUGUGCUUACAAGACUUAGUUAUCUCUUCUGCCAAAUAAAAGUGAUUUUUAUUUUCAAUUAUAGAAGCUACCUGAAAACUAUUUUGAUUUUUUUUUUCCUGAAUAUAAGAAGACUGUUUAAAAAAAAAUAACAUAUUAAAAACAAUGUCAAGCCAACAUCCAGAAGUACAGCAUAAUAUUGAGGGAUAAAAAAGUCACUGCUAUCAGAGUAAGUUUAGUGGCCAUGGCUACCGUAGUUAGUAACAACACACUACUGCUAGCUACCUUUUAGACCUGGUCUAUGCUGAAAAACAUUGCUGGUAAAGUGAUAUAUAAAAAGCACACCUGCUUUUUGCUCAAAUAAAAUGCAGGUGCACUAGCAAAUAAACCUUUUUGCCAUAUUUUUGCUCAAGGAACUAGCAUACAUAUGGUGUAAUUACACUAGAAAUCAAGGAAGGCACACCAAAGCCUUGAAUUUUAUUUUUUCUGCAUAGGAGACUAUAAUAUAGUAUUAAAAGUUUGCAAUUAGCCUAUUUAAGUAGGGAAGAGAAUGCCAUAGAUUUAUCCUCAACGAAUUUCAAUACAACACAUCCAGGUUUUACUGUUAUAUAGCAAGCAGGUCAACUGAACUCUUCAUGUAAAGCAUCUACUCCACUAGAGAAAAAAAAAAUUACAAUUUGCACUCCUACCUUUUCCAGAAGGAUGAGGGCAACUUGAAAAAAGAAAUCAGUUGAAGACAACAUACCCUUUUCCAUAAGCAAAAGCGACGUGUGUGAGGAGUGGUAAACCUAAUUUAAUUUGGUCUUAACAGGCAAUGGUUGCUACGUUUUGGUUCAAAUGUGAACAGUGUACUUUUACAACUAUGCCUGGUGCCACACGUGAAAUAUGCUUCAGCUUCUACAGAGCAUCUGCCACAAUCCCCCCCCCGUUUUUUUUUUUUUUUUUUUUAAAA